AAGAGGUAGAGGAUUUGUUCUAUAGGCUCGUACCUCUGUACCCUUGAGUUCUAAGGAGACAGGAACCCAAGUCUGGCUGAUGAGACAUGGCUGUGAGACCAGAGCGUGAUUAACAGUUCUGAUAAGUUUGGUUCAAACCUAUCAAGUAGUAAAGGAUUGUUCCCAUGGUUGGUUCUAAUCCUAGGGUGGUCGCACGGUUGGUUGAAAGACU